UCUUCCUCACCAAAAACAAAAGAAACGGGGCUCCUUAGAUUCCAGAAUGAGGGAAAAAAUUAAAGGUAAGAUCAAUAAUCAGAGACCUCAAAUCUCAGAGUUCCCAGAACUAAGAAACAAAUCUUAAAUGCUGGGUCUAACAUUUUAGUACCCCCAAAGGGAAGCCCAGGCCACAGGCUCAUGCAGAGACUUCAUGUGUAUUACCUGCAAAAAGCUUUGAGGCAGAAGGUUAUUCUGCUAUGUCCUUGAAAGUAGGACUAAGGAAAUUCUGACCACUAGCCAUGAGUGAAAAUGAAUCAUUUUUGAGAAACUGGCAAUAUGAAACAGCUCUAUGCCAACUGCUGAAUCCAAAAUUUGUACUACUUAUGUGGUAUGAGAAUGGCAAGUGGAGAAAUUAAGAAAAUCCUAAUAUUAACUCAGUGAAGCCAGUGACAACAAUGAAGAAAUGCAUAUGAGCUGGUACUCAAUGGGUGUUGCUACAAGCGUGUGCCCCUGAAAUACUUCUGUGUCAGUCAGCUUGGAUUGCCAUAAUAGAAUACCACAGGUCGGGUAGCUUAAACAGCAGAAAUUUGUUUUCUCACAGUUCUGGAAGCUGGAAGUCCAAGAUCAAGGUGCUGGCAGGGUUGGCUUCUGGUGAGAUCUCUCUUCUUGACUUGCAGAUGGCUGCGUUCUCACUGUGUCCUCACAUGGGAUUUCCUCUGUGCACAUACUCCUGAUGUUUGUUCCUCUUCUCGUAAGGACAUUGGUCCCAUUGGAUUAGGGCCCCAACCUUAUGACAUCAUUUGACAUUAAUUACCUCUUUAAAGACCCAGUCUCCGAAUACAAUCACAUUGGGGAUUAGAACUUCACUAUAGAAAUUUUGAGGAGACAACUUAGUCCAUAACAACUUCCACGAAGGUGACUUGAGAGUAAAACAUUUAAGUCACCUAUGGAAACAUAACAGAAGAGAAUCGGCAAAUACGAAAAAGAAAAUUCACACUGUAGAACUAGAGAUGAUAGAAUUAUCCAGAGGGGACAUUACAAUAAAUGCGUGAAAGUUUAAAUAGAUAAAAGAAAAAAAAUAAUCACAGACAUCAGACUUGGAGAAGGACCCCAAUCUUGAACCAUGGGGCAUAGGGGCCCCAAGAUUUGAAGAUUGUGAGCAAAUACAUUGGUAAAGAUGUAUAUAAGUGUAAAUAAGCAUUAGUAACUUGGAAAUAGACCUGAUUAAAUUAACCAGAAAUGCAGAUAGAUGUAGAUAUAAAGAAAAGAAAAUAACUUACUACAGAAAACGUACAAGAGAAUUUUUGGAAAAGGAGGAUAGAGAGAAAUGAAAGAUAUUAUGGCUCAGAAUGUUCCUGGACUGAAAAAGAUAUCAGUCUUCAGAAUGAUUGAAUAUACCUCAUCCUUGACAGGAUGAUUAAAAACACAUCUACACCCAGAUCUACUGCAGUGAAACUUCAGAACUCACACAAACAGAAAAAAUCAUGAAAGCAAUCGAAGAUGAAAUAUCUAUUACAAUCAAAGGAAUGAUAAUUAGAAUUACAGACGAUGUGUUAAGUCAUGAUGAAGACAAGAAGUCUAAUGAAAUGAUACUUUUAAAGGGUGGAUGAAAAAUAUUUGCCAACCUAGAAUUCUACACUCGGCCAAAUUAUAAUUUGGGAGUGAAUCUAAAUUUUAAAAAUGCUUCUGAAAAAUACUCUGAGAACUAGAAAUUCAUAGCCUCGCAAUGGCAAAGAAAAACUGUUAGAGAGUGAAAAUCAGAGGAAAUGGAAUUCUCUCCUCCCAAAAUACGGGUGGAUGGUGAAGAAGUACUUUGAUAAAAAUAAAGGUAAAUGUAAGCAAAUUUGGACUGUAAAGAAUAACAUAAGUGAUAGAUAAAUAGAUAGAUGACAGAUAUUGCUAAUUUCCUGGUCAUUUAAGGCAAGAUAUUUUACAAGGCAAAAAGAAGACAAAUUAAUGUGGUAGGUUAGAGGAAGAAGUUUAGUGUGCAUAAGCUCUAAAGCCCUAUUUGGUUUGAGAGGAGAUUAGAUAUACUGAUUAUCUAUAAACUCUUAAAUAUAUAUGUUUAAAAUCUGACUGAACAUCGACUGAAAAUAAAACAAACAUGUAAUAUCCAGACAAAGAAAAGGAAAAGGAAGGAGGAAUAAGGAAGCCUGUGUGGAUCUAAUAGUAAGGUAAAAAUUUGGAUGUAAAGCAUAGGGAUCAACAAGAGGAUAAUAGUUUCUUCUGGGGAGCCAAGGAGUAGAAUUGGGAGGAUUACAAAGUGAGCUUCAAUUUUUUCCCAUAUAAGAUGUCGGUUGUAGAAAACAGAAUAAUCCAAUAAAGCAAAAUGUUUAAUGUGCAUUAAAUCUGGGGAUCCUCAAGAUUUGAUGGUUGUAACUAAUUGGUAUAUUUCUUUAUAUUUCAAAUACUUAAUUAUCAUAUUAACACGUUAAAAAAUGUACACUGGUAUCAGAUAAGACUGUGUUCUUAUCCCAUACCUCUUACUUACUAUGUAAUUCAGGUAAAGUCAUUCAGUUUCUUUAGGUUUCACUUGCUUAAUUUUUAAAUGUGUCCAAUAUUACAAUAUCCCCUACCUUCCAGGGUUGUUUUAACAACGUAAGGUGUAUGCCACAGUUCUUGGAGAAAAUGUGUCAAUAUAUAGUCACUGUUGAAAAUAAGGAGGCAGCAGAAGUAUGAAACCAAAGGAGGGAGGAGUAUUUAAAAAGGGAAAGCAGGUGACGUUUAUUUCACAUGCAAGCAAAAUGUUCAAAUUACUGAUGUGGACCAUUGGGUUUCAGUCUUACGAGGUCAUUGGCGAAGUUCACCUGAGUGGUUUGGGGAGAUGGGUGACAGCAGAAGAUGGUAGGCAUGGGUCAAAGAGGGGAGAGGACAGAUAAGCAAAUACUUGCAGCAUAUUGUUUGACACAAGGAGACAAGGAAAAAAAUCACGUACUUAUUUAUAGAAGCAAAAGAAAAAACAGGAGUUUUAAAAAUGGGAGACUGCAAAUGUGAACUAUUUUAAGUUGUUUGGUUGUGGGGAAAAAUAGGUCAGUAACGAGAGAUAGAGGGGCGUGUGCUCACGCGCACAUGAACGUGUGUGCAUGUUGUUAAUGGUAAGGGUUUUGCCCUGUUAAGAGACUGAAAGGAGAGGUCUGGUAGCAAUGGGGAAGGUGAGAGUAUAGGAACAAAAGUAGAGCACUGAUGGAUCAAUGUCCUAGAAGAGACAGGGUGUUGGAAUUGAGAACAUGUGUGGAAGAGUUGGCCGUAAGCAAGAGAGAAUCACUUGUUUGAGAUUAGAAGGAAGUUAAAUGUGAGCGCUGACAGUGUUAAGUGUCUACAUCUGAGGGCAGGUCAUUGAGGGAGUUUAUGACUCUGAACUUCAAAUUUGUCUGUAAAAGAUGUGAGGCAGUGUCCUCCACUGAGAAAGAAUGUGUGUAAUUUUUGUUAUUUUUAUUGUUUUUUGUUGUUUGUGUGUUUCGUCCCUAUCAAGUGUGAAGACUCAAGCAUUGAAAUACUCCAUGAGAAACCAAAUGAAGUGUUUACUGUCAUUAUCCCUAUUUGAUGAAGAGGAUACUGAGGCUCAUAGAGAAUUAAUAACUUGUCCAAGAUCGUCUAAUGCCAAGUAAUCGAGAGUGGAUGACCUGAAAGCACACACACCAGCCGGGACCAGCCUUUUGUUGAGGGAAAACUUACAGAGACAGAAGUAGCAGGGUAGCAAGGUAUGAUCAAGGGUGGCUAAAACCUUGAGGUCUUUCUCCUCGCAUUAGGAACAAGCACGACAAUUUCUCAAGUAAGCCAUAGAAGUCUUAUUUUCUACAAGACCCUUAACAUGAAAUAGUUUGAACACAAUGCUAAAGAAUUGUUCAUUUAUUCUUUCAGUGGACAUUUAUUGAAUACCUCCUGUUAACUAUAAACCAAUGUAUUUAUAUAUAGAUAUGGGUGGGGUAAUAAAGAUGGCUGAAGUUUGCUCUCUGACCUUGAGGAAGUCAUAGCCUGUAAGGGGAGAUAGAUACCCACAUCACUCAGUCUACUACCAUUUGCCAUAUGUGUAGACCUGUGGGAGCAGGAAGGAGAGUCAGUCUAAUUUGAUUUGGAAUGAGAAAUAGGGUGAAGACACACAUCACAAAAGAAGUAAUGUUUAACCGAACUUUGCAGGUUAAGUGGAGUUCAUCUGGAAGAUUAGGUGUCAUAGGAUUGUUUCUCCAAUAAAUAAUUUUCUAUUACAACCUUUUUAAUGAUUGCAUACUAUUCCAUCAUGUGGACAUAACACAAAUAGUUUAACAGAGUCCUUCUUUUUGGUCAUUAGGCUUACUCCAUUUUUUGGAAACUAUAAACAACAUUGAUAUAAAGAUUCCUUUAGCUAAAUCAUAGUACAUGCCCUUGAUUCUCUUCUUAGAAUAUAAUCCUAGAUGUGAUAUUACUGGUCAAAGGUCCAGCACAUGUUUAAAGCUUAAAUAUAUUUUCUCGAGCUAGUAGGAUUCUCAAGUAUAAGCGAGUAGGACUUUGAGUUCAGACAAACUUGAGUUUAAACUAUAAACAUUUUGAGGCAGCCUUGGUGUCCUAGUGGUUAAGUUUGGCACAUUACACUUUGGCAGCCCAGGUUCAGUUCGCAGGUGCAGAUCUAUACCACUUGUAUGUCAGUGGCCAUGCUGUGGCGGUAGCUCACAUACAAAAAGAGGAAGAUUGGCAGCGGAUGUUAGCCUAGGGCAAAUCUUCCUCAACAAAAUAAAUAAAUAAAAUAAAAUAUAAACAUUUCUUCUUUUGGUUAUUUGAUCUUAAACAAGUUGCCUAACCUUCAUUACUCUUAGUUUCUUUCUUUUUUUCAAAAAAGAUGAGGAUAACAAUACUUACCUUGAAGUGCUGCUUUAAAAACUAUAGUAGAGGUUAAAAAUUACUUGUUGAAUUCCCUUUGUAUUUUUGACAGUAGGUGCUAGAUAGCUGCUAAACUCUAGCACGAAAUUCAAGUGUUCUAAAUAUUUCAAGUUAGUGUUAUUAAUUAAUUUCUAACAGGAAAUGUGUACCGCCUCAAUAACUGCAUGGUGUAGUCAUACUAAAUUCAUCCUAUGGUCCAAAUUUCAAAAAUUCUGACUCAUUGUCCACAUAAGUAACUUUCAAAUUGCUGAAUUGUGCUUUGACAUUUGGUCUGAAACAAUAGAAAUGUUCUAGUAUUGGAUGAAGAGAUAGAAGCCUGGAAGAAAAUUCUUACCCUUCCGCUUAUUGCCUGUGUCACUUCAUCUCCCAGACCCUUAUUCCUAUCAUCUCAAAAAGGAACAUAGGGUUCCAUUUUCUUUGUGCUUCAAAGAAUCAAAUAAGUAACAUAAAUGAAACAGAUAGAUCUCUAACUUGUGAUUCUGAUAUAACCUAUUAUCCUUAUUGGUUUUUAAAUAUUCCAUGAAUCUUUUUACUUAUUGCAAAAGAGGAGACAUUAUGCAAAAUGUACGCUUCUCUCAUGCUUGUCAGUGUACUAUGAGUUUUCUGUAUUAUAUUGAUGUGGGGCAUUUUUGAGUUGAAGGAUCUGGAUUUAUUUUUGAACUUCUGUCAGCACUCCAUAAUUAACAUUACCCAGAAGAGAAAUGCUAUUUUGCCUCCUGCAUCAUCAACACAAGUGUCAGCAAAUAAGGAAGGCAUCAUCUUUACCAUUAUUACUGCUAAUGUACGAAGCAGAAAAGGACAGCUGGAUUUUCACACACUGAGCUAUUAGAAGCACUGGCAUUUAGUGAAAUCUGUUUUCAAUUUCUACCUACGUUUUUUGCUUUAAGAAUGUGUUUAAAGGGGAAAAUAUCAUUUUUAUCCCAAAGCUUAUUUUUAAACUCCUCAUUUGGGACAUUCACUGAUCUCAAAGUUGUUUAUCUCAAUGUCAUUUUUCCUCCUUGACAUAAAAAUGAAGUUAAUGUUGAUUGCUUAGUGGCUAUUUUACUUACUGGCAUUUACUACCCUAUUUUCUCUGUGCCCCAAAUUCUCUGUAACGUUUCAGUUUCUCUCUGGUCUCCAACUUUGCUAAAAUUUGUAAUGGCGAUGGAUAGAAAUAAUCUUUUAAAAUGAAGAGUUGUGAGGGCUAAAUCUUGCUGCAAUAAAGGAGCAGGGCUAGAGCUCAGAUGUUUGCUAUUUAUGAAAGUAAAAAUUCUGUAGCCUCCAUAGUUACAGUGUGCCAAAAUUAGGUAGUCUAAGGUAAUUUUGUUCAUUAAGGUUGAUAGUUUUUUUUAAAAUCACGUAAAUGUUGGGAUUGUGAAAUGGUACAGCCACUUUGCAAAGCAGUUUGGCAGUUCCCCAGAAUGUUAAACAUAGAGUUAUCAUAUCAUCCAGAAAUUCUGCUUGUAGGUGUAUACCCAAGAGAAUUGAACAUAUAUCUACACAAAAACUUGUACAUGAAUACUCAUAAUAGCCCCAGAGUGGAAACAAAACCAAUGUCCAUCACCUGAUGAAUGGAGAAAUGAAAUAUGAUACAUGAUAUGAUGGAAGAUCAUUUAACACUAAAAAGGAUGAGAUACUGAUAUACACUACAGGAUUGGUGAACUGUGAAAACAUUAUGGGCAGUGAAAGAAGGUAGACACAAAUGACCACGUUAUAUUAUUCCAUUUGUAUAAUGUCCAAAACAGGCAAAUCCACAGAAAUAAUAAGUAGAUUGGUGGUUUCCAGGGGUUAAAAGAAAGGGAGACUGGGGAGGGAUUGAUAAUGGGUAUGGGAUUUCUUUUUGAAGUAUUAAAACGUUCUAAAAUUAGAUAUUGAUGAUCAUUGUAUAACUCGGUGAAUAUACUAAAACUCACUAAAUUAUAUACUUUAAAAGAGUGAGUUUGGGGGGCCACCCCAAUGGCAUAGUGGUUGGGCUCAUGACUUUUGAUUUUGAUGCCAGGAGCGGACCUACGCGCUGCUCAUUGAGCCAUGCUGUGGCAGUAUCCCAUGAACCAAGUAGAGGGAGAUCAGCA